GAUGAACGCUGGCGGCGUGCCUAAUACAUGCAAGUCGAGCGAACGGACGAGAAGCUUGCUUCUCUGAUGUUAGCGGCGGACGGGUGAGUAACACGUGGAUAGCCUACCUAUAAGACUGGGAUAACUUCGGGAAACCGGAGCUAAUACCGGAUAAUAUUUUGAACCGCAUGGUUCAAAAGUGAAAGACGGUCUUGCUGUCACUUAUAGAUGGAUCCGCGCUGCAUUAGCUAGUUGGUAAGGUAACGGCUUACCAAGGCAACGAUGCAUAGCCGACCUGAGAGGGGGAUCGGCCACACUGGAACUGAGACACGGUCCAGACUCCUACGGGAGGCAGCAGUAGGGAAUCUUCCGCAAUGGGCGAAAGCCUGACGGAGCAACGCCGCGUGAGUGAUGAAGGUCUUCGGAUCGUAAAACUCUGUUAUUAGGGAAGAACAUAUGUGUAAGUAACUGUGCACAUCUUGACGGUACCUAAUCAGAAAGCCACGGCUAACUACGUG
rnacentral:rRNA from 1 species